AUGGAGCCCGGGCUGAGCAUCGAGUCCGGGUCGGCCAUCCGGGUGGCGGUGCUGCCGGUGGGCGGGCCGAUCCCGCCGCAGUCCCUGCGGGACUACGCGGCGCUGGUGGCGGAGCACGCGCGCGUCGACCUCGCCUCGCUGCGCCCCUACUACUCGGAGCACCAGAAGAGCCCCUUCUCGCACCAGCCCUGGGACACGGGCUGCCUCCGCCUCAAGUUCGUGCUCGGCGGCUGCGUGCCCUCGCCCUGGGAGGACUUCCAGUCCUCGCGCAAGGUGCUCGCCGUCGUCGGCAUCUGCCACCUCCCCUCCUCCCCGGACCUCGCCAGGGUCGCCGCCGACUUCCUCGACGCCGCGCGCACCUACCCCUCCGCGCUCGCCAGCCGAUGCUUCGCCUUCUGCCCCACCGACGCGCAGUUGCUAGAGGAAAGGAAGGAUGGCAUUAUUAUGUUCCCUCCUUCCGAUCAGAAAUCACUGGAACUUCAUAUGCUUACAAUGAUCCAAGAUCUUGCAGCUUCAUUGUUGAUGGAGUUUGAGAAAUGGGUCUUACGUGCAGAAUCCACAGGAACUAUUUUAAAGACACCUUUGGACUCACAAACCAGUCUUGGCUCAGAGGAGGUUCAUACUUUAGGUGUUCCGAGUAUUUUGACCAGUGUGAUCAAGGCCAAAAAAAGAAGGCUGGGCCGUGCACAAAAGAUAAUAGGAGAUUAUUGCUUAUUGGCUGGAUCACCUGCUGAUGCUAAUGCACACUACACCACAGCAAUAGAUCUUGCAAGAUUGACAGGGGAUGUAUUCUGGCAUGCUGGGGCACUUGAAGGUAGUGUCUGCGCAUUAGUGGUUGAUAGGAUGGGCCAAAGUGAUCCUGUUUUGGAAGAUGAAGUGAAGUAUCGUUAUUAUACCAUUAUCCAGCUGUACAGAAGAGCAACUUUACAAGAUAAUGCUCAAAGAGUUUCACCUGUGAGCUUUGAGCUUGAAGCUGCAUUGAAGUUGGCAAGAUAUUUGUGCAGACGUGAAGUUGCCAAGGAGGUGUCAGAUUUAUUAAUGGGUGCUGCAGAUGGCGCCAAGGCUCUGCUUGAUGCCAGUGACCGGUUGAUACUAUAUAUUGAAAUUGCGCGACUAUUUGGCUCUCUUGGGUAUAAACGCAAGGCAGCAUUUUUUUCAAGACAAGUUGCACAGUUAUACCUUCAGCAAGACAAUGCAUAUGCUGCUAUGAGUGCUAUGCAGGUUCUAACGAUGACUACAAAUGCAUACCAUGUUCAAAGCAGGAAGACUAGCAAACCUGAUCAUGCUUCACUGAAGGAACUCUGUGCCAGCAACAGCAAUGCCGAUUCUGGAAAAGCGCACCCUCAGUCUGUUGUGUCAUUAUUUGAGUCGCAAUGGAGUACCCUUCAAAUGGUUGUUCUAAGAGAGAUAUUGAUGUCUUCAAUCCGUGCUGCGGAUCCCCUCACGUCAUGGAGCGCCGCGGCUCGUCUUGUUCGAUCAUUUUACCCGCUCAUCACCCCAGCUGGUCAGAGUGGGCUGGCAAGCUCUCUUUCAAACUCUGCUGAUAGGCUUCCUUGGGGCACACGUUGUGCCGACCCAUGUCUUCCUUUUAUCAGGUUACAUUCUUUACCAUUUCAUCCUUCACAAAGAGACAUAGUAAAGCGCAACCCACAUAAAAAGGAGUGGUGGAUUGGUGCCGGUCCUUCUGGGCCUUUUAUUUAUACACCUUUCACCAAGGGGGGCACAUCUGGGACUAGCAAACAAGAGAUAAAUUGGAUUGUUGGAGAACCAGUCCAAGUUAUGAUAGAGUUAGCAAACCCCUGCAGCUUUGACUUAGUUGUUGAGAGCAUUUACCUCUCUGUUCAUUCAGGAAAUUUUGAUGCCUUUCCGGUUACUGUUAAUCUUCCACCAAACACCUCCAAAUUGGUUCUGCUAUCUGGAAUUCCAACAAAAGUUGGACGAGUAUCGAUUCCUGGGUGCAUUGUCCACAGUUUUGGUGUUAUUACAGAACACCUAUUCAAAGAGGUUGACAGUUUGCUCCUUGGAGCUGCACAAGGGCUUGUUCUUUCUGAUCCUUUCAGAUGCUGUGGCUCUAGCAAGUUUAAGAGUGUUAACUUCCCCACCAUUUCUAUUGUUCCUCCCCUUCCUUUAUUAGUUGCCAACGUUGUCGGUGGAGAUGGUUCUAUUCUUCUAUAUGAAGGUGAAAUUCGCGAUGUUUUAAUUACGCUGACAAAUGCCGGAACUGUGCCAGUUGAAGAAGCAAAUAUUGCAUUAUCCGGGAAGAACCAGGAUUCUGUUAUUUCAAUUGCCCAUAGUACAUGGAAGUCUGCACUUCCGAUAAAACCAGGUGGAGAAGUUACAUUUAAAGUGACACUAAGAGCCUGGCAUCUUAGCUUGGCAGAUUUGGAAGCAGAUGGUAGCAGAUCUCCUGCAAAUCCAAGGAGAAUAGCAAGAGAAGGAAUCAAUCCCUUUUUGAAUAUUCACUAUGCUGGUCCUUCAGCGGCCAAAGGUAAUGGUGAGGUUUCUCUCCCACCUGGAAGACGCCUUGCUGUUCCAUUAAAUAUCUGUGUUGUACAGGGCAUGCGCCUGGUAAGAGCACGUCUGUUAUCCAUGGAAAUACCUGCCCGGUUUAGUGAAGCACACUUGCGACCUGUCAGUGGAAAAGAUAAUAUAAGUGAUGAAAGUAAUAUGUUGCAUAAUGACAUUAGCUUAUUGAAGAUUGAUCCCUAUAAAGGAAGUUGGGGCCUCCGCCUUCUGGAACUAGAGCUUUUCAACCCUACGGAUGUUGUUUUUGAUGUCGAUGUUUCUGUCCAUUUGGAUGGGACUAUUGUUCCAGAAGAUAACACUGCUGAUGUGGCCUGUCACAAAACCAGAAUUGACCGUGACUAUUCUGCCAGGGUUCUCAUACCACUUGAGCACUUCAAAUUACCUGUUCUUGAUGCUUCCUUCUUUGUAAAGGAAAACGGAAGCGAUGAGCAACUUGGGUCCAAAGUGGCCACCAUAGCAGAAAAGAAUGCCAAGGCAGAGUUGAACGCUUCUAUCAGCAACUUGAUUUCAAAAAUAAAAGUGAGGUGGAAUUCUGGGAGAAAUAGCUCCGGUGAGCUGAAUAUCAAAGAUGCUAUUCAGGCAGCAUUACAAGCAUCUAUAUUGGACAUAUUGUUGCCUGAUCCCUUGACAUUUAGCUUUAGACUUGCUAAGGAUGCCAAGCCUGCUAAUGAUUCCAACCAUUCUACUGUUGAGAAUGUUGGUCCAUCUGCCGGUGAGAAUGUUCUGAGGUGUAAAGAUCCUAUAUCAGCUCAUAAAAUGACCCAUAUGGAAGUUCAAAUUCGGAACAACACGAAGGAAAUUAUUCAGAUGAACCUCAGCAUUUCAUGCAAAGAUGUUGCAGGAGAAAAUUGCUUCGAAGAAAACAGUGCAACCGUCCUCUGGGCUGGUGUUCUUAACGACAUACAGUUGGAGGUUCCACCAUUGCAGGAGGUGAUACAUCCUUUCUCUGUCUACUUCCUAGUACCUGGAGACUACUCGCUGCAAUCUUCUUCUGUUAUAAUUGACGCUACGGAUGUUCUUCGUGCUCGGGCAAAGGCAGAGUCCCCGGAUGAACCUAUUCUAUGCCGCGGAUCCCCAUUCCAUAUCCAUGUAGUUGGUACAGAGUAG
rnacentral:rRNA from 1 species